rnacentral:sRNA from 1 species
AUCAGCCGCAUUAUUAUGACGACCACCACCACCGACAUUACUGGGAGCGGUGCGGCUGACGCGUAAAGAAAAUCUAAAAAAAGCCCGCACCGUUGAAAAUCGAGUGCGGGCUUUUUUUU